CAGGCUUAACACAUGCAAGUCGAGGGGCAGCAUUUCAGUUUGCUUGCAAACUGGAGAUGGCGACCGGCGCACGGGUGAGUAACACGUAUCCAACCUGCCGAUAACUCGGGGAUAGCCUUUCGAAAGAAAGAUUAAUACCCGAUGGCAUAAUUAGACCGCAUGGUCUUAUUAUUAAAGAAUUUCGGUUAUCGAUGGGGAUGCGUUCCAUUAGGCAGUUGGUGAGGUAACGGCUCACCAAACCUUCGAUGGAUAGGGGUUCUGAGAGGAAGGUCCCCCACAUUGGAACUGAGACACGGUCCAAACUCCUACGGGAGGCAGCAGUGAGGAAUAUUGGUCAAUGGACGAGAGUCUGAACCAGCCAAGUAGCGUGAAGGAUGACUGCCCUAUGGGUUGUAAACUUCUUUUAUAUGGGAAUAAAGUUUUCCACGUGUGGAAUUUUGUAUGUACCAUAUGAAUAAGGAUCGGCUAACUCCGUGCCAGCAGCCGCGGUAAUACGGAGGAUCCGAGCGUUAUCCGGAUUUAUUGGGUUUAAAGGGAGCGUAGGUGGACAGUUAAGUCAGUUGUGAAAGUUUGCGGCUCACCCGUAAAAUUGCAGUUGAUACUGGCUGUCUUGAGUACAGUAGAGGUGGGCGGAAUUCGUGGUGUAGCGGUGAAAUGCUUAGAUAUCACGAAGAACUCCGAUUGCGAAGGCAGCUCACUGGACUGCAACUGACACUGAUGCUCGAAAGUGUGGGUAUCAAACAGGAUUAGAUACCCUGGUAGUCCACACAGUAAACGAUGAAUACUCGCUGUNUGCGAUAUACAGUAAGCGGCCAAGCGAAAGCAUUAAGUAUUCCACCUGGGGAGUACGCCGGCAACGGUGAAACUCAAAGGAAUUGACGGGGGCCCGCACAAGCGGAGGAACAUGUGGUUUAAUUCGAUGAUACGCGAGGAACCUUACCCGGGCUUAAAUUGCAAAUGAAUUAUGGGGAAACCCAUACGCCGCAAGGCAUUUGUGAAGGUGCUGCAUGGUUGUCGUCAGCUCGUGCCGUGAGGUGUCGGCUUAAGUGCCAUAACGAGCGCAACCCUUAUCUUUAGUUACUAACAGGUCAUGCUGAGGACUCUAGAGAGACUGCCGUCGUAAGAUGUGAGGAAGGUGGGGAUGACGUCAAAUCAGCACGGCCCUUACGUCCGGGGCUACACACGUGUUACAAUGGGGGGUACAGAAGGCAGCUACCUGGUGACAGGAUGCUAAUCCCAAAAGCCUCUCUCAGUUCGGAUCGAAGUCUGCAACCCGACUUCGUGAAGCUGGAUUCGCUAGUAAUCGCGCAUCAGCCAUGGCGCGGUGAAUACGUUCCCGGGCCUUGUACACACCGCCCGUCAAGCCAUGAAAGCCGGGGGUACCUGAAGUACGUAACCGCAAGGAGCGUCCUAGGGUAAAACUGGUAAUUGGGGCUAAGU
rnacentral:rRNA from 1 species